CAGACACAUCAAAACAAGGGGAAGGUAUUAUGGUCUGGUCUUCCCUGCCUCAUCUCAGACUGAUCAGGACUGAAGCAAAAGCAUAGGGAAAAACAGGGAUGAAGAAGCCAGUCCUGCUGAGGAAGAUGAGGAGAUGUGGAAGGAUGGAGACAGCAGCCACCAAAGGCUGGGGAAGGCACAGAGCCAGGACAGGAAAAAGCACUUAACUCAUCCCAUCUUUGCCCAGAGCUUUGGUGUUUGAGCAGCCAAACCCAACAAGCUCCAGAACUGCUGGCCUGCACUGGAGGGCCCCAGGUCCUGCCCAUGGUGUGGGAUGCUGGACUUACAUCUGCGGACAUGUGCUCAGCUCUCACUGCAGGGAACCGUCAGGCCUUGAUGGUUGUGAGUCCAUGUUCUUCUCACUGGAGAAUUGGAAAUAAUUAUGAAUUAAUUGCAGAAGAGUUUUCUCAAAGCUUUCCCCUUUCUCCCAGCAUGUGGAACAAGGGCAGAGAGGAGGAGCAGAAGAGCAGCCUGGGGCUUGAGAGAGGCACUGUAGGCAAAGGGACCUCCCUGGUGCCACCAGGGCACCUGUGGGGAACUAAAUGGACACUGAGGGCAAAGUAGAGGCAAUUGCUGGCAGAGCUGGGGGAAGAUCUGAGUUCAGCUACAGGGAAUAAGCAUGGGGAUAAUUUUGAGGAAAAGCUGAGGUGAUGUUUAUGGG